UACGUAGGAUGCAAGCGUUGUCCGGAUUUACUGGGCGUAAAGCGCGCGCAGGCGGCAGGUUAAGUAAGGUGUGAAAUCUCCCUGCUCAACGGGGAGGGUGCACUUUAGACUGACCAGCUAGAGGGCGGUAGAGGGUGGUGGAAUUGCUGGUGUAGCGGUGAAAUGCGUAGAGAUCAGCAGGAACACCCGUGGCGAAGGCGGCCACCUGGGCCGUACCUGACGCUGAGGCGCGAAAGCUGGGGGAGCGAACCGG
rnacentral:rRNA from 1 species